GUUAUAUGGUCAAGUGAAGAAGCGCAUACGGUGGAUGCCUUGGCAGUCAGAGGCGAUGAAAGACGUGGUAGCCUGCGAAAAGCUUCGGGGAGUCGGCAAACAGACUUUGAUCCGGAGAUCUCUGAAUGGGGGAACCCACCUAGGAUAACCUAGGUAUCUUGUACUGAAUCCAUAGGUGCAAGAGGCGAACCAGGGGAACUGAACAUCUAAGUACCCUGAGGAAAAGAAAUCAACCGAGAUUCCCUUAGUAGUGGCGAGCGAACGGGGAUUAGCCCUUAAGCUUCAUUGAUUUUAGCGGAACGCUCUGGAAAGUGCGGCCAUAGUGGGUGAUAGCCCCGUACGCGAAAGGAUCUUUGAAGUGAAAUCGAGUAGGACGGAGCACGAGAAACUUUGUCUGAACAUGGGGGGACCAUCCUCCAAGGCUAAAUACUACUGACUGACCGAUAGUGAACCAGUACCGUGAGGGAAAGGCGAAAAGAACCCCGGAGAGGGGAGUGAAAUAGAACCUGAAACCGUAUGCGUACAAGCAGUGGGAGCCUACUUGUUAGGUGACUGCGUACCUUUUGUAUAAUGGGUCAGCGACUUAUAUUCAGUGGCAAGCUUAACCGUAUAGGGUAGGCGUAGCGAAAGCGAGUCUUAAUAGGGCGUUUAGUCGCUGGGUAUAGACCCGAAACCGGGCGAUCUAUCCAUGAGCAGGUUGAAGGUUAGGUAACACUGACUGGAGGACCGAACCCACUCCCGUUGAAAAGGUAGGGGAUGACUUGUGGAUCGGAGUGAAAGGCUAAUCAAGCUCGGAGAUAGCUGGUUCUCCUCGAAAGCUAUUUAGGUAGCGCCUCAUGUAUCACUCUGGGGGGUAGAGCACUGUUUCGGCUAGGGGGUCAUCCCGACUUACCAAACCGAUGCAAACUCCGAAUACCCAGAAGUGCCGAGCAUGGGAGACACACGGCGGGUGCUAACGUCCGUCGUGAAAAGGGAAACAACCCAGACCGCCAGCUAAGGUCCCAAAGUUGUGGUUAAGUGGUAAACGAUGUGGGAAGGCUUAGACAGCUAGGAGGUUGGCUUAGAAGCAGCCAUCCUUUAAAGAAAGCGUAAUAGCUCACUAGUCGAGUCGGCCUGCGCGGAAGAUGUAACGGGGCUCAAACCACACACCGAAGCUGCGGGUGUCACGUAAGUGACGCGGUAGAGGAGCGUUCUGUAAGCCUGUGAAGGUGAGUUGAGAAGCUUGCUGGAGGUAUCAGAAGUGCGAAUGCUGACAUGAGUAACGACAAUGGGUGUGAAAAACACCCACGCCGAAAGACCAAGGGUUCCUGCGCAACGUUAAUCGACGCAGGGUUAGUCGGUUCCUAAGGCGAGGCUGAAAAGCGUAGUCGAUGGGAAACAGGUUAAUAUUCCUGUACUUCUGGUUACUGCGAUGGAGGGACGGAGAAGGCUAGGCCAGCUUGGCGUUGGUUGUCCAAGUUUAAGGUGGUAGGCUGAAAUCUUAGGUAAAUCCGGGGUUUCAAGGCCGAGAGCUGAUGACGAGUCGUCUUUUAGAUGACGAAGUGGUUGAUGCCAUGCUUCCAAGAAAGCUUCUAAGCUUCAGGUAACCAGGAACCGUACCCCAAACCGACACAGGUGGUCGGGUAGAGAAUACCAAGGCGCUUGAGAGAACUCGGGUGAAGGAACUAGGCAAAAUGGCACCGUAACUUCGGGAGAAGGUGCGCCGGCUAGGGUGAAGGAUUUACUCCGUAAGCUCUGGCUGGUCGAAGAUACCAGGCCGCUGCGACUGUUUAUUAAAAACACAGCACUCUGCAAACACGAAAGUGGACGUAUAGGGUGUGACGCCUGCCCGGUGCCGGAAGGUUAAUUGAUGGGGUUAGCGCAAGCGAAGCUCUUGAUCGAAGCCCCGGUAAACGGCGGCCGUAACUAUAACGGUCCUAAGGUAGCGAAAUUCCUUGUCGGGUAAGUUCCGACCUGCACGAAUGGCGUAACGAUGGCGGCGCUGUCUCCACCCGAGACUCAGUGAAAUUGAAAUCGCUGUGAAGAUGCAGUGUAUCCGCGGCUAGACGGAAAGACCCCGUGAACCUUUACUGUAGCUUUGCACUGGACUUUGAGCCUGCUUGUGUAGGAUAGGUGGGAGGCUUUGAAGCGUGGACGCCAGUUCGCGUGGAGCCAUCCUUGAAAUACCACCCUGGCAUGCUUGAGGUUCUAACUCUGGUCCGUGAUCCGGAUCGAGGACAGUGUAUGGUGGGCAGUUUGACUGGGGCGGUCUCCUCCUAAAGAGUAACGGAGGAGUACGAAGGUGCGCUCAGACCGGUCGGAAAUCGGUCGCAGAGUAUAAAGGCAAAAGCGCGCUUGACUGCGAGACAGACACGUCGAGCAGGUACGAAAGUAGGUCUUAGUGAUCCGGUGGUUCUGUAUGGAAGGGCCAUCGCUCAACGGAUAAAAGGUACUCCGGGGAUAACAGGCUGAUACCGCCCAAGAGUUCAUAUCGACGGCGGUGUUUGGCACCUCGAUGUCGGCUCAUCACAUCCUGGGGCUGAAGCCGGUCCCAAGGGUAUGGCUGUUCGCCAUUUAAAGUGGUACGCGAGCUGGGUUUAGAACGUCGUGAGACAGUUCGGUCUCUAUCUGCCGUGGACGUUUGAGAUUUGAGAGGGGCUGCUCCUAGUACGAGAGGACCGGAGUGGACGAACCUCUGGUGUUCCGGUUGUCACGCCAGUGGCAUUGCCGGGUAGCUAUGUUCGGAAAGAUAACCGCUGAAAGCAUCUAAGCGGGAAACUUGCCUCAAGAUGAGAUCUCACUGGGAACUUGAUUCCCCUGAAGGGCCGUCGAAGACUACGACGUUGAUAGGCUGGGUGUGUAAGCGUUGUGAGGCGUUGAGCUAACCAGUACUAAUUGCCCGUGAGGCUUGACCAUAUAACACCCAAACA
rnacentral:rRNA from 1 species